GGGUUUUACUCCUGGAUGUUACCGUAUCGCCCAACCUAAGCCGGACGUCGUUUUGGUGUCUGACUCGGUAACCGAAUCGGGAGCACCAUCUGCGUAGGCUUAAUUUAAGACUUUCGUCACCUACGGUCUUGGACAGCCCCCGCCAGGCAGGGACCCCAAUAAGAGAGCGAAGCAGUGCUUCGCUC
rfam:Pseudomonas sp. HPB0071 genomic scaffold aczIi-supercont1.1, whole genome shotgun sequence.